rnacentral:lncRNA from 1 species
GCCUAGCUAAAAAAUACCUGGUUAUACUUACCAGUAUUUCUGAAAACAACUAGAUCCCUGGGGCACUGUGAAUAGACAGCAGAAGCCAAUCUCAAAGUCCUCAAGCCCUCCGAACACUUAGUGGGCAUCACUCAUCCUCCUGAAUCAGUCAGAGGCCUAGGAGAGGGCAGUUUAGACUCUACUGUCUGCCGCACUGCGUGGUGUUGGAACCUUUGAUUGCAGCUCAGAGAGCAGGAGAAUCCAACCAACUCCAGACCUGGGAGGGUGUAGCGCCUUGAAGUGGGACAUUUAAACACUCAUUCUUAGGUCAAUUGCUUUAAUACUUUCCCUGCAGAGAUGUUCCAGAGAGUUAAGUCUCCAGACUAGCCCACAUCUUCACCUCCCACACCUGCUUGCCUGGGCCUAUCUAGAACAAACCCUUAGUCUACCAUAAUCUGACUCGAUUUUGGUGGGGUUUUUGUUCGUUGAUUUUGUAGGGGUUGAACCCAGAGGUGCAUUACCACUGAGCUACACUCCAAGCCCUUUUCAUUUUUUGAGACAGGGUCUUGCUGAAUUACUGAGGCUGGCCUUCAGUUUGAGAUGUCUUGCCUCAAUUCCUGAGUCACUGGGAUUACCCCCAUAAACCAUCUAGCCCAGCCAUAAUCUGAUUCUUCCUACAGCCUUGACUUUCACUCUGUAAUUAUUUCUCCAACCCCCUUUCCCCUAGGGCACUACCUGUGCUUUAGUCAGUUUUAGAGGGAAAUGAGCCAUUUUCCUCCUGCCCCAGGGCUUUUGCACAUGAAAAUCCUGUUGGUCCGAAAAAAUUCCAAAUCAUUCUUUAAAACUCAGCUCAAGCAUCACUUCUUCUGUACACAUUCUUGACCUCCACCUCCCCCAUCAAGAUAAGGAAUCUAUUCUCAUGUUCUCAUGGAAUGUUCAUUGAGUAGUCAGUUCAGUGUUUUAGGGCACAUUCAUUCCUAUAAUUUUAUUUUUAAACACCUAUUAAAAUGGUGUACAGAUUUUAUCUUUUUGUACUAGGGAUUAAACCCAGGAGCGUUUUGCUUUUAUUUUUAAAGACAGGAUUUGGGGCUGGGGUUGUGGCUCAGUGGUAGAGUGCUCGCCUAGCAUGCACGAGGCACUGGAUUCGAGCCUCAGCACCACAUAAAUGUAAAAUAAGAAUACUGUGUCCAUCUAGAAUAAAUAUUAAAAAAAAAAGACAGGAUCUUGCUAAAUUGCUGGGACUGGCCUUCAAACUUGCCAUACUCCUGCCUCAGCCUCCCAAAUAGCUCAGAUUAUAGUGUGUAAUACCAAACCUGACUGGUGUAGUAGAUCUAUGAAUGUUAACAUACAAAUAGAUUCAUGUAACUACCACCACCAUCAGGGGAUAGAACACUUCCAUCAUCCCCAAAAAACUCCCUCCUACCAUCCCUUUGUAGUCAUGCCCUCCCCCGCUCUACUCUCUGGCAGCUACUGAUCUGUUCUCUAUCACUGGAAUUUUGUCUUUUCCACAGUGUCAUAUACAUGGAAUAUUACAGUACUUAUGAUUCACACAGCAUAAUGCCUUUGAGAUUUAACCAUGUUGUUUGUAUCAAUAGUUCAUUUCUUUUUAUUGUUAAAUAGUAUUUCACAGUAUGAGUAUGCAAUAGUUUAUCCAUUCACCUGUUGAAGGACUUGGAUUAUUUCCAGCUUUUGGCCAUUACAAAUAGAACUGCCAGAAAAGGUGUACAGGUUUUUGUGUGAGCAUAAGUUCUUAUGCCUUUAGGAUAAAUAAGUAGGAGUGAGAUAUCCGGGUCACAUGGUAAGUGUAUAUUAGAAUUAAUUUAAAGACUGCCAAACCAUUUUCCCCAGUGGCUUUACCAUUUUGUAUCACCAACAGCAAUGUAUAAACAUAUGAGAGUUCCAAUUGCUUCACACCCUCCGUACUUAAAAUUGUUACUACUUUUUAUUUUAACCAUUCUAAGAGAUAUGUAGAGAUAGAUAUCUUAUUGUGGCUUUAAUUUGCAUUUCUCUAAUAACUGAUGAUACUGAAUAUUUUUUCAUGUGUUUAAUUGCCAUCUGCAUAUAUUCUUUGGUGAAAUGUCUGUUCAAGUCUUUUGUCCAUUUUUUUAGUUGGG